ACACAGGCUGGCGCGUAGCGAGGACGGCUCCUGGGAGUGUUUUUGUUCGCGUGCUGGUCGCACUGGAUGAGGUUCCCUGCUAUGCAUUUCGGGGAGGGGGGAAGGGCAUCAGCUCCAGCCCUUGGUUAGAUGGAGAUACGCUUUAUUGUUGUACUGCUAAGAUUAUGCUGAGAACUGCGGCUGCUCUGCUCUGGAACGCUGCUUGAUGACUGCUUUUGGUUGCGCGGAAGCAGUAUGUCUGUCAACAAGCUGGCACAGCAAUCAGACGCUUCCGUUAAAGACAACUGGUGCUGCUUCAGAAUCAGCGUGUUUGGGAAAGCAGGGAGACAUAACUCAAGCCGGCUUUCCUGCAAGCACUCCAUGGGCCAUCCUGCGCGACACACCGUG